rnacentral:tRNA from 1 species
GGGGGAGUAGCUCAGUCGGUAGAGCAACUGCCUUUUAAGCAGUAGGCCCUGGGUUCGAGUCCCAGCUCCCUCACCA